UCUGCCAGAGUGUGGCCGCGGA
rnacentral:miRNA from 1 species